ACAGCCUGAAAAUUGCCGCGGGCAUUGCCAUUGUCUACGGUAAGAUAUCUGUGCCUAUAUUACUAUGGCGCGUCUCUCAUUGCCCGUGUGCCCAUCAUGUGGCGAUGAAACCUAUGCGCCUACAAGC
ensembl:snoRNA